UUACGGCCAUAUGACGUUGAAACACCGCUUCCUGUACGAUCACCAAAGUUAAGCAACAUCAAGGCUGAUAUGUACCUAGAUGGGUGACCGCUUGUGAAGAGCAGGU